GGUUACUCUCAUGUGCUGCGUGGGCGCCUCCUGCAGGGCACGCAGCCCUUUGACAAGGGGCUGGGCUUCUCUCAUCAGGAGGCAGGCCAGCGAGCUUGGGAACAGAAGCAGAGGCGGGGACAGAGAGAGGAGAAGGAGGAGUAUGUUGCUGAGGCACAGUUUGUUGAAGAACGUGGAAAUGUACUUGCUAGAAAGGACCGGAAAGCC